rnacentral:lncRNA from 1 species
GCUGUGCUGGGGCAGAGCUGCUUCCCCUUUGACAUUGGCUUUUUUCUAAAACCGAAAAUAAGCAACCGUGGCUGUGACUUCACUUUUCUUGGAACUGCUUUACAUUACCCCCCAAAUGGAGAAAACCCUCAUUUAGCAGCUUUUGGAUUGCCAAGUUCUCUAAUUCUUUCUGUUGCAUAUUCUUGUAAUGCUCAAGUUUUACUGACAAAGUCUUCUGCAUCAGGUGAAGCAGGAGGAGGAAGGAAUGACCAUGUGAAGUAACUGAGCGCUUUGUUGCCUGGCCUGUGGGUGUGUGGUUUCAUGGUUGAGGAGAAAAAGCACCUGGAAGACACAGUGUGUGUAGAAUGCCUUCCAGUUCCAAGGGUGACAACCCUGCGAUCUGCUGGCCAGCAGAUGGGCUAGGGCUGCUGUUGCUAAACAUCAGGCUACAGCCGAAACUUACAGAGCAGCUGCCUGCUUCAAGGACAAGGGGAAAAAUGCAUUUUCAGUCAUAAUGACCUACAUUUAGCAGAUAUUUCGGAGCCCGUGCGAAAGGACAUCUUCAAAGGGCCUCUUCCUCCUUGUGAUAAGGGAGACAGUGAUGUUAGUCAAACGUGGGGCCCAGUCCUGGUCCUGCCCGUUCCUGUCUGACUUUGGCCUUGGAAGUCUGUGAAGCCGAGACAAUUCAUCCUUCAAAGGGUGGUACCGGAUAUGUUGUCAUUACCAUGGGGAUUACACGAAACAUCCUGAAGUUAGAGCAAUCCAUUUUAAACUGAUGUUUUGUUGAUGGCUGACGUAGCGGACUCAAAACAACGAGCACUUCUGCUUGAUACACAGAUUCUCCGAGGUUCCUGUGGAGCCACAGCACCUCCUGUCUUGGCACUUCAUAGUUGUCUCAUCGAGUCCAAGGCUGCCUCCCAAGGGUCUGGCUGGUAGACCAUGAAGUUGAUUCCUGCCUUAAGCCUGGCUCUGCAAGAAGUUGUCCUAUAUUCUCACCAGUCACAUUUUUGGUACUAGAACGGUGCUUUUUAUAGUGCACUCGUAACUGGACGCUGAAAUCACAGCCUGGCCAUUUGGAUGUUCAACCGAUGCUUUAUGCUGCUGAGUCCUUGGAACUCACUCCCCGUGCCGGAACUCACUGGAGCUCAGGUGUGUGGCACUACCUUGUUUCUCUGCAGCUGGUAUUGCAAACAUUUUUCAUGCAUUUAUUUCCCAUUGUUUACUUUUGAGUUUUUGUUUUGUGAGACAGGGUCUCAGUCUG